ACGAGAUGUGCGAGCGUUGUUCGGAAUCACUGGGCAUAAAGGGUUCGUAGGCGGUCUAGCAAGUUAGGUGUGAAAUCCCUCGGCUUAACCGGGGAAUUGCAUUUAAUACUACUAGGCUUGAGGGUGGAAGGGGCAAGCGGAAUUCCAGGUGGUGCGGGGGAAUGGGCUGAUAACUGGGAGAACGCCGAAGGCGAAGGCAAGCUGCUGGGUCACUUCUGACGCUGAGUGAACGAAAGCUAGGGGAGCAAACAG
rnacentral:rRNA from 1 species